UAAUACGGAGGAUCCAAGCGUUAUCCGGAAUCAUUGGGUUUAAAGGGUCCGCAGGCGGUCUUUUAAGUCAGAGGUGAAAGCCUACAGCUCAACUGUAGAACGGCCUUUGAUACUGAAAGACUUGAGUUAUUGUGAAGUGAUUAGAAUGUGUGGUGUAGCGGUGAAAUGCAUAGAUAUCACACAGAAUACCGAUUGCGAAGGCAGAUCACUAACAAUAUACUGACGCUCAUGGACGAAAGCGUGGGGAGCGAACAGGAUUAGAUACCCUGGUAGUCCACGCCGUAAACGAUGGAUACUAGCUGUUCGUCUAACAUUGGUUAGAUGAGUGGCUAAGCGAAAGUGAUAAGUAUCCCACCUGGGGAGUACGGUCGCAAGACUG
rnacentral:rRNA from 1 species